rnacentral:rRNA from 1 species
UACGGAGGGUGCGAGCGUUGUCCGGAAUCACUGGGCGUAAAGGGCGCGUAGGCGGCUGGUGAAGGCUUGUGUGAAAGUCCGGGGCUCAACCCCGGAUCGGCACGGGCGACUCGCUGGCUGGAGCCCACUAGAGGCGGGUGGAAUUCCGGGAGUAGCGGUGGAAUGCGUAGAGAUCCGGAAGAACACCGGUGGCGAAGGCGGCCCGCUGGGGUGGAGCUGACGCUGAGGCGCGACAGCGUGGGGAGCAAACAGG